rnacentral:lncRNA from 1 species
UCCCCACAAUAUUUUUCUGUAUAUGUCCAUAUCUACUUCCAGUCUUACCAACUAUUGUAACUAGCUUUUACUUCCCGAAAAAUAUAUCAUGUUGGUUAGAAAGGCAAAUAAGUAGUUUUGUUGCAAAACAGAAUGUGUAAAGUCAAAGUAUAAGUAUUUCUUGCAUGUGUUAAUAAGAGAAUUAUGUAUAUUUUUGUAUAUUGCGGCA